UACGUAGGGUGCGAGCGUUAAUCCGAAUUACUGGGCGUAAAGCGUGCGCAGGCGGCGCGUUAAGACAGGUGUGAAAGCCCCGAGCUUAACUUGGGAAUUGCGCUUGUGACUGGCGUGCUGGAGUGUGGCAGAGGGAGGUGGAAUUCCACGUGUAGCAGUGAAAUGCGUAGAGAUGUGGAGGAACACCGAUGGCGAAGGCAGCCUCCUGGGCCAGCACUGACGCUCAUGCACGAAAGCGUGGGGAGCAAACAGG
rnacentral:rRNA from 1 species